rnacentral:rRNA from 1 species
UAAGCGGAGCGUGAAAUCGUGUGGCUCAACCAUGCGGCUAUGCUCUGAACUGCUGAUCUAGAGAAUGAGAGAGGUCACUGGAAUUACUAGUGUAGGAGUGAAAUCCGUAGAUAUUAGUAGGAACACCGAUGGCGUAGGCAGGUGACUGGCUCAUUUCUGACGCUCAGGCACGAAAGCGUGGGAGCAAACGGGAUUAGAUACCCCGGUAGUCCACGCUGUAAACGAUGGAUGCUA